GGAGGUGCCGAGGAUGCUAUG
rnacentral:siRNA from 1 species